GAUGAACGCUGGCGGCGUGCCUAAUACAUGCAAGUAGAACGCUGAAGGAGGAGCUUGCUCUUCUGGAUGAGUUGCGAACGGGUGAGUAACGCGUAGGUAACCUGCCUGGUAGCGGGGGAUAACUAUUGGAAACGAUAGCUAAUACCGCAUGACAACAGUUAUUGCAUGAUAACUGUUUAAAAGGGGCAACUGCUCCACUACCAGAUGGACCUGCGUUGUAUUAGCUAGUUGGUGUGGUAACGGCUCACCAAGGCGACGAUACAUAGCCGACCUGAGAGGGUGAUCGGCCACACUGGGACUGAGACACGGCCCAGACGCCUACGGGAGGCAGCAGUAGGGAAUCUUCGGCAAUGGACGGAAGUCUGACCGAGCAACGCCGCGUGAGUGAAGAAGGUUGUCGGAUCGUAAAGCUCUGUUGUAAGAGAAGAACGAGUGUGAGAGUGGAAAGUUCACACUGUGACGGUAACUUACCAGAAAGGGACGGCUAACUACGUG
rnacentral:rRNA from 1 species